CCCUUAGAUGUCCUGGGCCGCACGCGCGCUACACUGAUGCAUUCAACGAGUUUUACCUUGGCCGAGAGGCCUGGGCAAUCUUUUAAACCUGCAUCGUGAUAGGGAUAGAUUAUUGCAAUUAUUAAUCUUGAACGAGGAAUUCCUAGUAAACGCAGAUCAUCAAUCUGCAUUGAUUACGUCCCUGCCCUUUGUACACACCGCCCGUCGCACCUACCGAUUGAAUGGUCCGGUGAAGCCUCGGGAUUGUGGCCAGUUCACUUUAUUGGGAGUUGGCUGCGAGAACUUGUCUAAACCUUAUCAUUUAGAGGAAGGUGGAGUCGUAACA
rnacentral:rRNA from 1 species